UACAGAGGUCUCAAGCGUUGUUCGGAUUCAUUGGGCGUAAAGGGUGCGUAGGCGGCGCGGUAAGUCGGGUGUGAAAUCUCGGAGCUCAACUCCGAAACUGCAUUCGAUACUGCCGUGCUUGAGGACUGGAGAGGAGACUGGAAUUUACGGUGUAGCGGUGAAAUGCGCAGAUAUCAGGAGGAACACCGGUGGCGAAGGCGGGUCUCUGGGCCGUAACUGACGCUGAGGAGCGAAAGCAUGGGGAGCGAACAGG
rnacentral:rRNA from 1 species